rnacentral:rRNA from 1 species
CCUACGGGUGGCAGCAGUGGGGGAUAUUGGGCAAUGGGCGCAAGCCUGACCCAGCAACGCCGCGUGAAGGAAGAAGGCUUUCGGGUUGUAAACUUCUUUUCUCAGGGACGAAGCAAGUGACGGUCCCUGAGGAAUACGCCACGGCUAACUACGUGCCAGCAGCCGCGGGAAUACGUAGGGGGCAAGCGUUAUCCGGAUUUAGUGGGUGUAAGGGGCGUGUAGGCGGGAGCGCAAGUCAGAUGUGAAAACGCAGGGCUCAACCCUGAGCCUGCAUUUGAAACUGUGUUUCUGGAGUGCGGGAGAGGCAAUCGGAAUUCCGGGUGUAGCGGUGAAAUGCGUAGAUAUACGGAGGAACACCAGUGGCGAAGGCGGAUUGCUGGACAGUAACUGACGCUGAGGCGCGAAAGCGUGGGGAGCAAACAGGAUUAGAUACCCCUGUAGUC